CAGCAGUGAGGAAUAUUGGUCAAUGGCCUAACGGCUGAACCAGCAACUUGGAGGAAUGUAUAGCAAUAGCUACUUGCAUCAUUAUAAAUAUGAUGCAAGAUUGACUAUGUCGAAUAAAAUUCUAGGUAGAAUUAUGAUAAUGACAUUAUCUGCCUAAGUGUCUUGACCAAAUUACGUGCCAGCAGUCGCGGUAAUACGUAGAAGACUAGUGUUAUUCAUGUUUAAUCGGUUUAAAGGGUACCUAGACGGUAAAUCAAGCUUAAAAAAAGACAAACAAAAAAGGGACUAAUUUACUAGAGUUACUUGUGAGGGGGUAUUAAAGUACUGCUGGUGUAGAGAUGAAAUUCUGUCAUACCUCUUUUCAAUUGAAAAAUCAUGGCACAGGUAUAGGCGAAGGCAUCCCCUUAUGUGAUAACUGACGUUGAGGGACGAAGGCUUUGUGUAGCGAACAGGAUUAGAUACCCUAGUAGUCAAAGGAGAAAAUGAUGAAUGUCAUAGAUUAGAUAAAUAAGUUUAGUAGUUUAUUCUAUAAAUGAAAGUGUAAGCAUUCCACCCUCAAGAGUAAUUUGGCAACAUUGGAACUGAAAUCAUUAGACCGUUUCUGAAACCAGUAGUGAAGUAUGUUAUUUAAUUCGAUGAUCCGC
rnacentral:rRNA from 1 species